GGAUUAGGCAUGCAAGUCGCGCGCGAAAGUCUUCGGACGAGUAAAGCGGCGAAAGGGUGAGUAACACGUAACCAACGUACCCCUCAGACUGGGAUAACCGUUGGAAACGGUGGGUAAUACCGGAUGGUACUACGAGUGGACAUCCACUUGAUGUUAAACGGUGGCUUCGGCUGCUGCUGAGGGAGCGGGUUGCGGCCUAUCAGCUUGUUGGUGAGGUAACGGCUUACCAAGGCUAUGACGGGUAGCGGGUCUGAGAGGAUGAUCCGUCACACUGGGACUGAGACACUGCCCAGACUCCUACGGGAGGCUGCAGUCGAGAAUCUUCCACAAUGGACGAAAGUCUGAUGGAGCGACGCUGCGUGCAGGAUGACGGCCUUAGGGUUGUAAACUGCUGUCACGCCUAAGGAACCCGUGUGUGUUAAUAGCGCACGCGCUGACCUAAGCGAAAGGAAGUGCCGGCUAACUCCGUGCCAGCAGCCGCGGUAAUACGGAGGGCGCAAGCGUUGUUCGGAAUCACUGGGCAUAAAGAGCACGUAGGCGGUCUGCUAAGUCGAAUGUGAAAGCCCUCGGCUCAACCGGGGAACUGCAUCCGAUACUGGUAGACUGGAGGAAGGCAGGGGUGAGUGGAACUCCAGGUGGAACGGUGAAAUGUGUAGAUAUCUGGAGGAACACCGGUGGCGAAAGCGGCUCACUGGGCCUUUCCUGACGCUGAGGUGCGAAAGCUAGGGUAGCAAACGGGAUUAGAUACCCCGGUAGUCCUAGCCGUAAACGAUGGGCACUAGGUAAUGGGCCUUCCUAUGGGGCUCAUUGCCGUAGCAAAUGUGUUAAGUGCCCCGCCUGGGGAGUACGCUCGCAAGGGUAAAACUCAAAGGAAUUGACGGGGG
rnacentral:rRNA from 1 species